rnacentral:rRNA from 1 species
UCUGGUUGAUCCUGCCAGAAGUCAUAUGCUUGUCUUAAAGAUUAAGCCAUGCAUGUCUAAGUAUAAAUAGUAUACAGUGAAACUGCGAAUGGCUCAUUAAAACAGUUAUAGUUUAUUUGAUAGUGCAAAUUACAUGGAUAACCGUGGUAAUUCUAGAGCUAAUACAUGCGCAAAUACCGGACGCAAGAAUGGUAGCAUUUAUUAGAUUUAACCAUCACAUGGUGAAUCAUAGUAACUUAGCUGACCGCGCGCAAGCGUGGUAAAUCAUUCAAGUUUCUGCCCUAUCAGCUUUCGAUGGUAGUGUAUUGGACUACCAUGGCAGUCACGGGUAACGGAGAAUUAGGGUUCGAUUCCGGAGAGGGAGCCUGAGAAACGGCUACCACAUCUAAGGAAGGCAGCAGGCGCGUAAAUUACCCAAUCCCGAUUCGGGGAGGUAGUGACAAGAAAUAGCAACUCGGGCGGUUAUCCGUUACGGGAUUGCAAUGAGAUAAGUCCAAAUCCGUAAACGAUUAACAAUUGGAGGGCAAGUCUGGUGCCAGCAGCCGCGGUAAUUCCAGCUCCAAUAGCGUAUACUUAAGUUGUUGCAGUUAAAAAGCUCGUAGUUGAAAUUCGAAUUAGCUGAUAGAGGGCUUAGGCUAUCUAGCAGUUGGUUCUCCGUCUACAAUCCCUCUUGGGCUUCAGGGUUGCAGAGGGCUGAGUAGACAAUUUACCUUGAAAAAAUUAGAGUGUUCCAGGCAGGUUUUCGCCGGAAUACAUUAGCAUGGAAUAAUGGAAUAGGACUUAGGUCUUUUGUUGGUUUUAGGACUUGAGUAAUGAUUAAUAGGGACAGAUGGGGGCAUUAGUAUUUAAUUGUCAGAGGUGAAAUUCUUGGAUUUAUUAAAGACUAACUUAUGCGAAAGCAUUUGCCAAGGAUGUUUUCAUUAAUCAAGAACGAAAGUUAGGGGAUCAAAGACGAUCAGAUACCGUCGUAGUCUUAACUAUAAACUAUACCGACUCGGGAUCGGAAGGGUAAUAUUUAAGGCCCUUUCGGCACCGUAAGAGAAAUCAAAG